rnacentral:siRNA from 1 species
UCGGUCGUUUCAAUUGUGCUGA